rnacentral:misc_RNA from 1 species
GAAAGUAAGUCAAAGUCCAUGGAUAAGUAAUGUUAUGUAUACCCGGACUAUGUAAAAAUAGAGGUAACCAUGCUUAAACCAAUAUGUCAGUUGCUAUAUGCAAGAAGAUUAUUACAAAGUCUUCCAAUAAUAGAGACCUCAAGCACAAGGUUCAUCACAACCUCAAACUCAACGAAUAAUCGGACCUUCAAAAGUAGUUUCAGAGUGAUCCAAGACACAUCAAUUGAUCCUGUCGAAUCUGAAAGAAAUGAAAAGAAUUAUAAACAGCUAUUAGAUCAAUAUACAAAGCAUGUUGAACUUGCAAAAUCAGGAGGUGGUGAAGCCGCUGUUCAGAGACACACACUGAAACAAAAGAAACUUCUAGCUUCUGAGAGACUCCGGUUGCUAUUGGAUGAUGAAGAGGAUUUCUUAGAGUUGGGGUUGUCAGCAGGCCUAGGGAUGCCAUAUGGAGAUGUUCCUCGAGCAGGAAUGAUAUCUGGUAUUGGAAGAAUUCAUGGAAGGUUAUGCAUGAUAAUUGCCAAUGAUGCUACAGUGAAGGGAGGUACUAUUUACCCUGUUGCUCUCAAGAAACAGUUAAGAGUGCAAGAAAUUGCUGAGCAGAACAGACUUCCUACAUACUAUGUAGUUGAAUCUGGUGGCGGCUUUCUGCCUCUUCAGGCUGAAAUAUUUUUACCUGGAGGAAGGACAUUUUAUAAUGAAGCAGUGAUGUCUUCCUUAGGAAUACCUCAGGUUGGGAGCAGAACUCAACAUUGCAUUUAACAAAGACCACAAUGCUCUUAACAUAAAUCUGUUUUGUUGUUGUCUUGUUUUGUAUGUGUUUUUGGUUAUUUAGUUAGCAAUAGUCUGUGGCAACUGUACAGCUGGGGGUGCUUAUAUACCCACAAUGGCAGAGGAAGCUGUGAUGAUUCAUAAACAAGGCUACAUAUUCCUGGGAGGACCACCACUUGUGAAGGCAGCUACUGGGGAAGUGAUUAGUGCAGAGGAUUUGGGUGGUGCAACGUUACACUGCAGUGUGAGUGGCUGCACAGAUUAUUUCGCUGAAGAUGAACCUGAAGCUUUUAUGAUUGGUCGAAACAUUGCUGAAACUCUUCCAUCCCAUAACUCCUGUACAUUGGAGUCAGAACCCCCUCUUUAUGAUGCUAACGAUAUACCAGGACUUAUUUCUCCAGAAAACAACAUUGAUAUUUACCAGAUCAUAUCAAGAAUCAUUGAUGGAAGCCAGUUUAGUGAAUUUAAAAAGAAAUUUGGGCCAACACUAGUCACUGGUUUUGGAUACAUUCAUGGGUGCCUUGUGGGAAUUGUGGGAAACAAUGGCUGGCUGUCCGAGCAUGCCGCAGACAAGGGAGCUCACUUCGUACAGCUGUGUUGUGAACGUAAUAUACCGCUUAUAUUUCUACAGAACACCCAGGAUAACCCAGACCCACCAUUGUCAGGGGAAAUGUAUGGCAAUCAGCUGAGAGCUCACGCCAAGAUGAUAUCAGCAGUGAGCUGCUCCUGUGUUCCUCUCAUCACCUUCAUCAUCGGUAAUGCCAUCGGACCAACAAGCAAAUAGAUCCAUGAGCCCAAACUUCCUGUUUUGCUGGCCAAAUGCUGUGUUCUGUAUAGACAAUCCAAAUAAAAUUACUCAAGACCUUCUACAGGCAGGGUCAAGCACUGGGGCAGAUGUUGAGGCAGUAAAGGUCAAGGUCACUCAGAAAAUGAACACAGAGACCACCUCAUUUUAUGCUGCCUCAAGAGUAUGGAAUGAUGGGAUAGUUCUACCUCAAGAAACACGCAAGGUUGUUAGACAGUGCUUGGAGGUUGUGAAUGCAUACAAACAAAGAGACCAACCAAAGGCUCAAGUCAUCAGGAUGUGAUCAGACCUUAGCUGUGAUACGACACUUAUAUUGUUGAUCUCUUAAGAAUUAGUUUAGUUUUAAAUGCACAUAAAUGGCAUUUUCACCUGUAAUUUGUAGCAAUAUGUAAACAGAAAAGAACAAUCUGAAAUUUACAUCUCAUUUAAUCUAAUAUUUCAUCAAGAUAACUUGACUUGUAAAUUAGACAUUUCAUCUGAUAAUUGAGGAAUUUCUCUGUGUACAUGUGAGUUUGUUGUCUAAAGUACAUCCCUAUUCUGAUGUUCUCUGAGAUAAAUGCACACACUGGCAACUGACGUUAUAUAUUUUUCUCUAAAUUAUAAGGUAAGAGGUAGAUAUCUUUUAUUAUGAAAAAAAUAUAACGUUGGAUGCCUGUGGAUGUGCACUCUGUCUUGUCAAGGGUGACAUCUUGUUGUCAUAAACUAACAGCUAGCUGCUGAUAAUCACAUUGAUCGUUUGCACUUUGUAUAUUUUUGAUACUCAAAAAAUAUUUAACAAAUGUAAUAAAAAACUUCUCUUCAAUG